rnacentral:rRNA from 1 species
AGUCGAGCGGUAGCACAAGGGAGCUUGCUCCCUGGGUGACGAGCGGCGGACGGGUGAGUAAUGUCUGGGAAACUGCCUGAUGGAGGGGGAUAACUACUGGAAACGGUAGCUAAUACCGCAUAACGUCGCAAGACCAAAGAGGGGGACCUUCGGGCCUCUUGCCAUCAGAUGUGCCCAGAUGGGAUUAGCUAGUAGGUGGGGUAAUGGCUCACCCAGGCGACGAUCCCUAGCUGGUCUGAGAGGAUGACCAGCCACACUGGAACUGAGACACGGUCCAGACUCCUACGGGAGGCAGCAGUGGGGAAUAUUGCACAAUGGGCGCAAGCCUGAUGCAGCCAUGCCGCGUGUGUGAAGAAGGCCUUCGGGUUGUAAAGCACUUUCAGCGAGGAGGAAGGUGGUGAACUUAAUACGUUCAUCAAUUGACGUUACUCGCAGAAGAAGCACCGGCUAACUCCGUGCCAGCAGCCGCGGUAAUACGGAGGGUGCAAGCGUUAAUCGGAAUUACUGGGCGUAAAGCGCACGCAGGCGGUUUGUUAAGUCAGAUGUGAAAUCCCCGGGCUCAACCUGGGAACUGCAUUUGAAACUGGCAAGCUAGAGUCUCGUAGAGGGGGGUAGAAUUCCAGGUGUAGCGGUGAAAUGCGUAGAGAUCUGGAGGAAUACCGGUGGCGAAGGCGGCCCCCUGGACGAAGACUGACGCUCACGUGCGAAAGCGUGGGGAGCAAACAGGAUUGGAUACCCUGGUAGUCCACGCUGUAAACGAUGUCGAUUUGGGAGGUUGUGCCCUUUGAGGCGUGGCUUCCGGAGCUAACGCGUUAAAUCGAUCGCCCUGGG